rnacentral:lncRNA from 1 species
CAAAAAAAGCAUCCAAAUCGUUUACUUUAAAGCAUUUCCCUUGACCACAAUGUUUAGGAUACCAGUGAUUGCUUUUAUGAUAUGGGCACAGAUAGUUGUAGUGGAGUCUACUUGUGAUUCUGAACUUCGUAAGUAUUUAUUAAAGCAGAUUACUUUACCAUUUAAAGAAGAAAAUAUGACAGGAAAUGUACACAUAUUUUAUGAAAAAUAUAUUUUCUAUAACAACUAAGUACAUUUAAGUAUGAUAUACCUUUUUGCAGAUAAUGUGCUCUACCAAGAUGUUCUUAAUAUGAUGAUGAAGAUGAAAGGUCCUAGUUCUGGUAUGUUCUUUCAACUCAUUUUCUAUUUAUAAUGGAAUUUUGCAUACUAUAUUUUUUUCACUUCAUUUUGCAUACUCAAUGUCUACUUUCAAUAGCAUUUGGCAUACUAAUUUGAUACGUUCAAUAGCAGGUUUGGAUACAUAUUUCUUUGUACGCUAACUUCUCGUGUUUAAAUUUAUCGAGAGGUCCAUAGGAUUUUUUUUAUCCAUUGUUCAAUUUGUUUACAAGCCAGUGGCGGAUCAAGUUUUUUUUGGUGGUGGGGGGGGGGGGGGGGGUCCGUGGGUUGGUACACCAUUUUCUGGACGAUCAAUGCAUAUGAAUGAAGAUAUCUGGUUGGAACCCCCUCCUUUAUCCUGAGUUGGGACCCCCUCUCCCUUUUGAGAAUGACUGGAUCCGCCCCGGCAAGCCUAAUCUUAGAUAUGUCCUAUAAUAUAUAAAUGAAGCUUUGGUUUUCUAUAUGCAAAUGUAUAUGCAAAUUCAAUGUGGCCAUGGACAUGACAUGACUGUUCAUUGAAUUUUUACCGAUAUGUAAGCAGGCAUGGGGUAAUCGUAAUCAGUAAUCGUUAUCAGCUGUAAUCGAUUACAUGUUGCAGUGUAAUCCUAUGUUAUCAGUAAUCAUAUGCAUGCCAUUUCCGAUUACAAGUAAUCAUAAUGUAAUCGAUUAUCUAGGUUUAAUCAUGAUUACUUUUAGAUUAUUUUAAGAUUACAUUCAUAUGAUUACUUGCUGAUUACAAAUCUUGUAUAUAUAUGAAAAUAGUUUUUGAGAGACAAUAUGGAUAUAAGAAAAUAUAAAGCAUGAAUGAAAAAUUAUGUAACUAGUAUUCACUAUGAUGGGACUUUAUUAAAUGGGAUAAAUUAUAUCAUCUAUGUAACAAGUUUUGUCUAAAUAAGUGUUUUAUUUUGUUAACAAUUUACUAAAGGAAUUUGCCUUUCCAAUGUUUAGUUGUGAGAUUGAGCUCUUACGAUACAAGAAUAUGCUUUGAAAGUGGUAUAAUAUUUUGUUUGAAUUUUACAUUUGUUAGAGAUACAUAAAGUACCGGUACCUUAUCCCGGCCUCGUUAACGUUAGUAUAUAGUAUUUCAGUGAUAAGGUUAGUAAUUGUUAGUACUUGUUAGUGCAACAUAUAUAUAUAUCGAAUCCCGCUGAGGGACGAACAAAAACAUUGUCAGUAGAAAAUCUAACUCUAACACUCUUUGGAGUGAUUUUCAGACUUAUAUAAAUAUUUGUAUUAACCAUGUAUCUCUAUCACUCUGAGAUCCAGUGGGCAUAUAUAUUGUAUGGUUUGUCACUUGUUUAGACUUGUUUGUAUGAUAUACUUAUUGCCAGUGACUGUAUAAUGAAAUGUGUCAUGAUCCCAUAUGAUAUAUAAAAAUUGUUGAGUUAGAUUACUGACAAAUGAAAAAUACAUUGUGUAUAAAAUAUAAUAUAACAUCUACACAAGCUAAAAAACACGUGUCUCAUGUCUAUCUCUAGAUUAGCCUUCCGUGACAAGGUACACUACGACUAUUGAAGUUAUAUUUUCAUAUAGCGGAUUGUGGUCGAGUGGUCUAGAGCGCUGUACAUGAGCUAAGCGUUGGUGCUGUAGUGUAUCAAAAGGUUGAGUUCGAAUCCCGCUGAGGGACGAACAAAAAAUUGUCAGUAGAAAAUCUAACUCUAACACUGUUUGGAGUAAUUUUCAGACUUAUAUAAAUAUUUGUAUUAACCAUGUAUCUCUAUCACUCUGAGAUCAGUGGCAUAUAUAUUGUAUGGUUUGUCACUUGUUUAGACUUGUUUGUAUGAUAUACUUAUUUCUAGUGAAUAUAAUGUAUAAUGAAAUGUAUCAUGAUACCAUAUGAUAUAUAAAAAUUGUUGAGUUAGGUUACUGACAAAUGAAAAAUACAUUGUGUAUAAAAAUAAUAAUAUAACAUCUACACACGCUUAAAAACACGUGUCUCAUGUCUAUCUCUAAUUAGCCUUCCGUGACAAGGUAACACUACGACUAUUGAAGUUAUAUUUCAUAUAGCGGAUGUGGUCGAGUGGUCUAGAGCGCUGUACAUGAGGCUAAGCGAUUGGUGCUGUAGUGUAUCAAAGGUGUGAGUUCGAACCCGCUGAGGACGAACAAAAAAAAUUGUCAGUAGAAAUCUACUCUAACACUGUUUGGAGUAAUUUUCAGACUUAUAUGUACACAGCCAUGUAUCACCAUCAUUGAUGGCGAUCCGAUGGAUACAUCUGUUGUAGAGUUGUCACUGACUCAGACGUACUUAUAAAUAUAAUUAUUUUCUGUGACUGUAUAUUACAUUAAUUUGUAGGAUCCUUUACUAUAGAUAAUUUAGCUGAUCUGUAACAAUAACAUCUUCAUGCCUUAUAUAUCAAGUACUGUAGUACGCCGCUAGAUUAAAACUGACGAGGAAAGGUAACACACGGCCAGCGAAAGCUCUUUUUAUGAGAGCCCAAGUGGUCGUGUGGUCUAGCGGGACGGCUGCAGUGCAGGCGAUUUGGUGUCACGAUAUCACAGUAGCAUGGGUUCGAAUCCCGGUGAGGAAGAACCAAAAAUUUGCGAAAGCAAAUUUACAGAUCUAACAUUGUUGGUUGAUGUUUAGACAGUUGUAUAUAUAUAUUAUAUAUAUAUAUAAUGAUGACAAUAUGCAACCGAAUAGAUAACAUGAUAUAUUAUAAAUUCUAAUUCAUGAAAUUAAUUUAAUUUUUGCUGCAACCAGAUUAUGGAAUUUUUCAUAUUUGCCUUCUUUAUUUAUCAAUAUUUCAUGAUAUUGAAGAAAUUCUUUUUUAAAAAUUUCAAACACAUUAAUGUGUUUUGUUUUUUUGUUCGGAUAUAUAGUAUCCUUUGUAUACAGUAAAAAUUGUAAUUGUUAUUAAAUCAUUAAUACUGUAAUAACUUGUAUCGUUUAUUUUGUAUCCGUACAAAAGUGAUCUAAUUGAUAUUAUAUGAUGUCCUAUUUUAAGUUUAUCAAGUAAUAGUUUUAUUUGAUCCCAAAAUGAUUUCAAAAAUUUGCAUGUCAAAAAGUAGUGCUCAUAAUCUUCGAUGACAUCACAAAUAUUACAUAGCGGAGUUUUAGUUAUUUUCCAAGAGAAAAGUAAUUGUUUGGUUGGUAAAAUGUAGUGCAGAAAUUUCCAUCUUAACAUUAUGAAUUUAUUAUCUUGUAUAUAACAAAAGAUAUAGUUCAGCAUUUGUUGUCUUUUGCUUCUGUUGUUUUCUAAGAUAAACAUGUUGUCCCAUUUUUGAAAUCCUAUUGGUUUUUCAUAAUAUCUAUUUAAGAGGGAGAUGUAAAUGUCUUUGGAAGAAAUGUUUUUAAAUGAUAACAUUUUUCCUUUUCUAUCUUUAAAUUUAUAUUCGGAGUCAAUAGCAACUUUUGUUUUAAUUGAUUCUUCUUUAGUUAGCUCUUGUAACCACUGUUUUGGUAUUGCUUUCAUUAAUUUAGAAUAUUCCGAAAACCAGUUAGCAUGGCAGGAUAGUUUUCUAAAUCAUGUUUUGAUUUAAUUUUCCUUUAUUAUCAAUAAUGUCAUUUACAAAUAGAAUUUUACUGUUAUUCUCAGUUUUUUUUUGUAAAUGAGACAUUUACCGUUUAAUUUGAAUAUUUUAAUUGCCCCAUAUAAGUUGCUGUCUAAUUUGUUUAUAUGAUAGUUGAUCUGAUCUUAUUAUAUCCCUUUUAACUUUUUCUGGUUUAUUAUUCCAUAUAAAACUAUAUAUUAUUUUUUUAAAUUUUGCUAGGUAUUCUUUAUCAAUUUUGGUUACAGACGCAACAUAAGUAAUAUUCGGUAAGAUUAAUGAUUUAACAAGAGCUAUCUUACCUAACAUAGUUAAAUUUCUUUUAUUCCCGUCUUUAAUUAUUUUUUCAAAUUAUUCGUUUUGUCGUUGCAAGUUUAAUUUUUUACACUCAUUUUCAAUUAACCACUUACAACCUUAUUGAUAUUGCAAUUAAGGCAAUACAAUUUUAAUACCCUAGCUCAUCUAUUGUGUGUUAAAACAUGGAAGUAGUGAUUAACACCUGUAAAAACAUUUAUCAUGGAUGUAAAAUUGAAGAUGGAAAUGGGGAAUGUGUCAAAGAGACAACAACCCCACCAUAGAACAGACAACAGCAGAAGGUCACCGAUAGACCUUCAAUGCAGCGAGAAACUCCCUCACCCGGAGGCGUCCUUCAGAUGGCCCCUUUACACAUAUAUAUUAGUUAAGUGAUAAUGGACGUCAUACUAAACUCCAAAUUAUACACAAGAAACUAAAAUUAAAAAUCAUAUAAGUCUAACAAAGGCCAGAGGCUCCUGACUUGGGACAGGCGCAAAAAUGCGGCGGGGUUAAACAUGUUUUUUGAGAUCUCAACCCUCCCCCUAUACCUCUAACCAAAUGUAGAAAAGUAAACGCAUAUCAAUACGCACAGUAAAAUUCAGUUCAAGAGAAGUCCGAGUCCGAUGUCAGAAGAGGUAACAAAAAAAGAUAAACAAAAUGACAAUAAUACAUAAACAACAACAGAUUACCAGCAGUUACCAACAUGCCAGCUCCACACCUCAAUUAAACUGACUGAAAGAUUAUGUCUUCAUCAUAUGAAUAUCAGGUACAAUCCCUCCCGUUAGGGGUUUAGUAUUAUAAAAUCAUAAAAUAUAUGAGAAGAACAUAACCCGUGUCAUGCCAACAACUGGUUUUUAAAUAAAUGCGUUUAGUUCCGAUGCAAAGGCCAUAUAAGUGAAUCAAUAUUAAAGCCAAAAUAUGCAAUCUUUAAUGACCAGACAACAGUAUCGUAACUAUAUCCCUUCUUAUUAAGUCUGUUUAAAGGUUUUGUUAGCCUCUUAGUCAAUUAUGUCACCACAGACAAUAAAACUGUACUUCAUUAACUUUUCAUUAUUUGUUCAGGUUUUUUGUUAAUUGACACGUGGUUAAAAUUUGUAGAAAAAAAACCAAAAGUUAUAUCUUUUACAUAGAGAAAGGACACUUGUCUAUAGCUAUGUUAUCAAAGUACACAUGUUGCAUUGUACUUGUCUAUAUUCUUUUAAAUAAUAUGAAUGAAUAAAGCCUUUUAAAAAAAUCAACAAAAUUAGCUUUUUCGUUAGGAUAAAAAGUUAUAAGAAAUUCCUUGAUAUUGCAAAAUACAAUGUAAUCACAAGUAAUCCAAAGUUAUCAUGACCACUUUAAAGAAAUGUAAUCGAUUAAAUUUGAAAUAAGUUUUAAUUGUAAUGUAAUCGAUUACAUUUUAUUAGCAAAGUAAUUGUAAUUUAAUCGAUUACAUUUUGAGGUAAUCGAUCCCUGUAUGUAAGUGAGGCGAAAGGUAACAAAGAAAUAUCCAAACAAAUAAGUCGAAACAAACUGAUAAUGCCAUGGCUAACAAACUAAUAGUCAAAGGUACCAGGAUUGCAAUUUAAUAAACAAGACGAUAAAAAGACAAACAACAGUAUUAUUAGUGUUGUUACCUUAGACUAAUUUGCUGUCAAUGGUUUGUUAAAAUCAUUUAAUGUGAUUAUCAAGAAUAAAAUUGAGAAUGGAAAAGGCUUUUCCCUAUUACUAUACCAAUUACUAAAGACGUUUAUUGAGCGAAUUCUUCAUAACAUCUCAUUAGGAUAGACGUUUUCAUAUCCAAGUUAGACUUUUUUAACCAGUUCCUGAUCUUAAAGUUGAUGAUUUUUAUUUCAAUUUCAUCACAAAUACAUUGCAUAAAUGGACUUGGGAUGGUAAGCAAUUUUUUUUUAUAUCUCUGAAAUCACCUUACAAAAACAACCUAUUUACCAGUUGAUCUAUUUUUUAGGUAAAUUCAAAUAUGCCAAAACGUUUUGGUAUUUAUCAAAACUGAUAACAUUACCAUUUAUAGAAGAAAAUAUGUAAUGAAAUGUAUGUAUAAUGAUUGAAUAACAAAUCUCUCUAUUUCUAUAACAAAUAGGUACAUUUAAGAAUACAUCUUUUUACAGAGAAUGGACUCUUUCAAGAUCUUCUUGAUAUGAUGAUGAAGAUAAAAGGUCCUAGUUCUGGUAUGUUCUUUCGACAGUAUUUUGCAUAGUUAUUUUCUACUUAUGGUUGCAUUUUGCAUACUUAUUACUACUUAUAACAUCAUGUUUCUUAUUCAUUUUCUACUUAUAAAAGCAUUUUAUAUACUCAUUUUCUACUUUCAAUAGCAUUUUUCAUACUCAUUUUAUACUGUCAAUAGCAGGUUUGGAUAAUUAUUUAACAGUUCGCCAUUUUGUCGUGAUUUUAUCAAAAGGUCAAUAGGGAUUUAUUUAUCUAAUUUGUUUGAAUUCAAUGUUUGCAAGCAUCAUAUUAAAUAUAUAUCAUGAUAUAUAACUGAAGGUUAAUUGCUGGGUUUUUUUUAUUCCCUUGAGACAAAAUGUCGAGGAGCAUAAUAAUUUAAUCCCUGUCUGUCCGUUCGUCCGUCUGUACGUCCGUGUAUCCUGAUUAGGAUACAUUGUUUGUCCGGCUAUCUCCUUCUACAGUUUUGGACGCAGAACUUCAAUAUUUUGUUGGAUGUUUAUACAUAAAAUGAAGGUGUGCAUGCUCACAUGAUUUUUUUUUUAGAUAUUCGGAAAAUGACAGUUAGUUGGACUUAGUCAUUUGUUUUGGUACUAGCUUCAUAAAAUAUCACAGUUGUCCAGCUAUCUCCUCUUAUAGUUACAUCAUCAUACAUAAUGUUAAACUUAUAAUUUCCUAUGGUCAGGCGGGGGAAUCAUUUGUGACCUACAGACAGCAAUAAUAAUUUCAAGUCUUUUACUAAUAUACAAGUGAGGCGAAAGGUACCAAACGGGUAUUUAAACUAAAUGCCAUGGGAUAAAAACCUAAAAAAAGAUCAAAAGACAAACAUCAGAAUUAUAUGAGUGUCCCAAAAUGUUUUGCUGUCGAUGGUUUGUUAAAUUCAUUUACUGUGCAAAGCAAGGAGGCUUUUCCUUAUCACGUUAUCAAUUGCUAAAGACGUUUUUUGACCUAAUCAUUCAUAAAAUUUCCAUCAGAUAAAAGUUUUUAUAUCCGAGUUGGACCUUUUUAAAAUCAGUUUCCGAUCGUUUAGUAGGUGAUUAUUUUAUUUCAAUUUCAUGACAAAGACAUUAACAAAUUGACUCUAUAAAGAUGGUAAGCACUAUUUUUGUGUCACUGAAUUAACUUCACACAAACAACCUUUUACUCAAGCAGUGACUUGCACUGUUUUACCAGUUGAUCUAUUUGUGGAGGUAAAAUUUGCUGAACGUUUUGAGCAAUUUGUAUAUUGUCAGGACGCAGCCUUCUGAAUUAAGCACAGUAACAAAAAUGCUAUACAAGUCCAUACAACUAUUUACACUUUACUGCUUUGUUAAUUCCCAUUGCAUUGCUCUUGAGCAAUUCGAGUUUCCAUGGAAAAUUGUGAAUUCAAAACAAAGACACUACUUAACUAACAAAUGAUGGCAUAGAUACCUGUAUACAUCACACUAUAGAUAUCUCUUAUCACACAAAUGAUUUACUAUAAUUAUAACCUUACAGCAACACUCUUUUUUAAAUCAAACUAAGCUUAAUAUAUGAUUUAUCUUUGUUCUAUCAUUUAAACUAUCUUUCUGCUUAAAAACCGAUACGUUUAUUGUAUAAUAAUCAACAUAUUAUUUUUAUCAGAACCGUCUACCUGUAACUGCAAGAAGAUUGUAAUUGCUUUCACAGCUUCGCUGUCAGCUGCAAAAUCCAUUGGCAUAAACGAAGUUGUAAAGUUUGAUAAAGUUUGGACCAAUGAGGGAAACGGAUAUCACCCAAAUUCUGGAGUCUUCACAGCACCAAAGACAGGAUUCUAUCAAAUAUCUGCAACAAUAAUGUCUCCGAAUGGAAAAUAUUUCCAUUCAUAUCUUAUGAAAAAUAAAAAACAAACUGUCGGAAUGUACCCAGGACGAGGUCAUCAUACAGGUGCAGCAAACAUUGUUCUGAAAUUAAAGAAAGGAGACCGUGUGUACAUUAAGCAUGCAAGCAACACCGAGAGCAUUUAUAGUGAUAGCAAUCAUUAUAGCAUGUUUUCUGGAUUUCUUAUUUCUUAAUAAAAUUUGAGACAAG